rnacentral:miRNA from 1 species
GCAGACACAUUCCAGCCAAUCAGCAGCAGACCCUCCCUCCCAGGCCCUCCCACCUCCUGGACAGCAUCCAUUUUACAUUCAUUGUGGAGCUGCAUUCUUAGUGAGCUGUCCAGAAGGUGGGAGGGUCUGGGAGGGAGGGUCUGCUGCUGAUUGGCUGGAAUGUGUCUG